CAGCACCACGCCCGCCCCGCCGAGCGCACUCACCGCCUCUCCGCCGCGCUGGACUCUGGACCCCAAAUUCUGCUACUAAAUGCGCGGGGCUGAGAAAGGCUUACGUGUCGAGGGAGGAAAAAGGGCUGCUACGCAGAGCGUUUCGCCCUUCCAUAGAAUUCCAGCCACCGCGCCUUUCUCUAGACCUGCCGCCGAAUAUAUUUCAUGGGAAAAAUGCUCCUCGACCGCGCCGUGCGUAUGAAGGGUGCAGUACCCGUGAUCCUGGGUUGUGCAGAGUGCAGGUACUGCUGAUACUUGCUGGUUUUGAAAUCAGAUGCUCCGAUUUUGCUUAAAUUAUUAUUCACUUUGCAUCUUUGAGCCGUUACAUUGUAUUUAUUAAAAAAUAGAAAAUCAAAGCAAAAUUGCAUUAACAAAAUUAAACACUGAAGAUUGAUGGACUUGGUUAACUUCUCCCAGGAAAUGGUAAAUCUUACCAAGCAGGAAACAAAAUGCUCAAAAUUGUUUCCUUUUGAAACCUUCAUCAAAUGCAUCCUAAACCACUCCAACUUCCAUUUUCCAGCAAGGAUGCCUGAUCUUUAAGAUAAAAAAUGUGUAAGUUCUCUCAACGAACAUAACUUUAAAGGUAUUCAGAUGUAAUUGCAACAGGAUCAGCUGCCGUUGCCCAAGAAACCAUCUAUCCCAGCUGUGCUUGUUAAUUUCUCUUGCAAGAUGUCUCUCAUAGCAGGAAUACAAAGGCUCAAAGACAGAACCGAAACUGACAUUGCCUACUGGAAACCCGUAGGAGGUGGGCAGGGCACAUCCCCAGCACCUGUACUUGUUUAAAGCUUAAUCCAUUGCUGAACAAAUAAAUCAACCGCCAGGUAAGAAUUUGUGUAAAGAUCCGGACUGCUGAGGCUUGACUUCAGCUGGACUUGUGUCCUACGGCUGACUGACUCUGGCAGCACUUUGGUAACAAAAUUCCACAUGACAUACUCAGCUGAACAAAGCAGGAGAUCUUAAUCCUGCUUCCAACCUUCUUCCAGCAUCAAACAGAUGGACAAACAAAGACAGCAAUAGCACGUACACACAAUUUCUUAAUGAAAUUGGGAUUUAAAAAGCUCUCAUAUUUUACUCUGUUGUAUCAGUUUAUUCUUCACAUAGUGGAAUAUUUCAACCUGCCCUCUAUUACGUAUAUCUGGGGCUUCUGAUGAAACAGAAUAAACAACAAAGCCAAAGAACAGCAUGGUGGGAUCUUAAACCACUUUCAUAAUGGCAAACUAGAAAAGCCCAAAGAGAAUUUUCUUCAAAAAUUCACUUUCCAAUGAGCAGGCCUCAAUUUUUGCUUAGCCCUGUAUCACCAAAUUUAAAAUUUAUUUGUACAUAUCCUAUAUGUGCUUCUUUGUACGUAUUUUGUACGUACUUUGUACAUACCUUCCCCUUCCUAAGCAAAAUGACUGCAAUAACCAUAUUCCAUUCAAAUGAGCAGCGGGACUCUGGGGUGACCAAAAAUCUGUGGCACCAGCAAAGGCAGCAGUGGCUGUUCUCAAGCCCACAGGGACACAUGGAGAGGCAGGUCUGGCAAAGACUCUCUGCUUACAGCUCACAACCAGAAGCUCUGACCAACGAGAUCUAGUAUAUUUUUCAGCCUUGUCUUAAGGUGUUCUUUCUCCCAGCUGCCUGAGGUCAUGAUUGCUGUAGCAGAGCACAACAAUUAAAGGAGGUAAUUGUUUAAUAUGCCAGCUUGUGACCUGGAGGCUAUUCCAUCAAAGUGUGGUAGUACUAGCAGCAGGAUAAAGCAGGCAGAUGAGCAUGGUAGUGUCUUAAUCUGAACAGAUAACUCUGCCAGACCACCUAUCAGAGUUUUAAACCUCAAAAUAAGUCAUCACCUACAGAGUUAGGAAGCAUCUACAAGACAAGCCAGACACUCCCCAGACCUCUACAUCAGGCCUGUGUAGUACACAUCUUACCAAAUAGUUCCUUUGGCCCAGCACAGUGUGUGGGUGAAACUUGUCUGACCUGUCUCGCUGCUUGCACCUUGGCCCGCAAUGAGCACUGUCAAACACCAGAACCAAUGCUGUCUCUCAACAGCCACAUGUGCUUUGUUGAGCAAAGCUGACUGGAAAGCUGACAGAUGAUGAUGCACUGAGAAUUCCUGGCUGGCAACUGCUCUCCCUGUGGGAUCUCUCAUCCUUCUGACAAAAAGGAUUUACAGAUAAAAGAGAACCGGCUAAGGAGCUAGAAAUAUCCUGCAGGAAUAUUCUGAGCAUUGCCUAUACAUUUGGAAUUGGAUGUUACUGCAUACCUUCAGCAGCUUCAACUUGGAUGUCCUACGUCCACGCAAACCCCAAGAAGUAUUCUGUGCAAACAUACUAUGCCAGUACUGCAUGGGCAAGGAAACUCCAACAAAAAUCAAGAGAGUAAAUUUACACUCUCAUAAA